GUUACAUAUGUGGAGACAAGCGUAUAGACAAAGAUCAGUGGCGGGCGGCAAAGGGUUGAUUACUGGGAUUCGGAUCCAGCAAACAAACUAUAUUGAGGGAGAAUGGAAUCGACCCUGUUUUUUUAUCCCAAAAUAUUGGUCGUGAGAGGAGCGACGACAGCUGCCUCCUCCACCUGACUGAGUUUGUUGUGAACUGUGGGGCGCACCGUCUCAGACCGGUGAAGAGCCCACAGCUAGUCGCCACGGAAGUCCAAACUGCAGAGCUCACAGGUCCUCUUCGUUAGUUGAAGAAAGAUCAGGGGCGUC